rnacentral:rRNA from 1 species
GCUGGCGGCGUGCUUAACACAUGCAAGUCGGAUGCGAACGGCGCUUUCGGGCGUUGAGUAGCAUGGCAGACGGGUGAGGAGCGCGUAUCUGACUGGACUCAGGCUGGGGGAUAGUCCCUCGAAAGGGGGUUGAAUACCGCAUGUGCUCGGUGCUGUGAGGGCAUCGAGGAAAGUUGGCCUCUGCGGGCACGCUGAUGGCCUGAGACAGGGAUGCGUCCUAUUAGCUAGCUGGUGGGGUAAGGGCCUACCAGGGCGACGAUGGGUAGCUGGUCUGAGAGGAUGAUCAGCCACACUGGGACUGCGACACGGCCCAGACUCCUACGGGAGGCAGCAGUGGGGAAUUUUGCGCAAUGGGCGCAAGCCUGAACGCAGCAACGCCGCGUGCAUGACGGACGCCUUUCGAAGGUGUAAAGUGCUGUCGACCGGGACGAAGGGGCGAGGGUGAACAGCUUUCCGCGCAUGACGGUACCGGUGGAGGAAGCCCCGGCUAACUCCGUGCCAGCAGCCGGGGUAAGACGGGAGGGG